GUCAACGGCCAUACCACCCUGAACGCGCCCGAUCUCGUCUGAUCUCAGAAGCUAAGCAGGAUCGGGCCUGGUUAGUACUUGGAUGGGAGAAGUAGAAUAAUCUUUUUGCAUGGGUUACAAAGAGACUGAUAUCG
rnacentral:rRNA from 1 species